rnacentral:lncRNA from 1 species
AUAAGUAACAAAAAGUAGUUUUACUUGUGAUCAGGCAGAGCACAGUGUGAUCCCUGAAGGCAGGCUUUAGGCUUAAAGUUACAAACAUGUACAAACAGGUUUACCCCAUAUGGGAGAUAACUUGGGGAACUGCUGUGGCAGCCAGCAGUACAGUCUAGGUGAUGGAGGGAGCAGACAGGGCGAACAAGAAGGUUGAAAAGAGGAAGGUAGCAGCGUGACUUGGCCUUUUACCAGGUCUGGAAAGGUCACACCCACCUGCUAGUCACAUGCAAGGAAGCAUGCUCCAGGCCAGGAGGAACAGGAAGUUUCGACUGCCUGGACCAAACAUUCCCUUGCAUGUCCAUUCUAGCUAUACAAGGAAUGUUGUACUUGACUGCUCCCAGUGGAUUACAGCCCACACCUGCUUUAGAACCUCAGACAUGGUAUGAAGUCGUAAAUUGCUUCUCCAGAAACUAAAGUAUAAGUUGUUAGAAACAGCAAGCUGAGAAACUUAAUAAGCACUCAGCUGGAGAAGCAGAAACUUCUUCCUUCAUUUACAAAAACAUCACAGGGCUCUUUCAAGAUUUACAGAGGAGGAACCCAGUUCUGAGCAAUAUUUUUAAGAACUGCAUGUAGAUUAAAAGGGUAAAGGUAAAGGUACCCCUGCCCGUACGGACCAGUCUUGACAGACUCUAGGGUUGUGCGCUCAUCUCACUCUAUAGGCCGGGAGCCAGCUCUGUCCGCAGACACUUCCGGGUCACGUGGCCAGCGUGACAAGCUGCAUCUGGUGAGCCAGCGCAGCACACGGAACGCCGUUUACCUUCCCGCUGGUAAGUGGUCCCUAUUUAUCUACUUGCACCCAGGGGUGCUUUCAAACUGCUAGGUUGGCAGGCGCUGGGACCGAACGACGGGAGUGCACCCCGCCGCGGGGAUUCGAACCGCCGACCAUGCGAUCGGCAAGUCCUAGGCGCUGAGGUUUUACCCACAGCGCCACCCGCGUCCCACGCAUGUAGAUUACUCAUGUGUAAUAAAAACAUACAACUGAUUCCCUUUAUGGGCAUUGCCUCCCUCCCACAAAAUAUGCUUUUGCUAACAUGGAAGUGUGAUAAUGGGAAAAAACUACAUCUGCUGAGGUUCUUGUAUUAGAAGAACAAUGCUGUCUUUUAAAAGAUGAUGCAUACCCUAUGUAUUGUAGGAUCUGUUUUACCUAGAUGGCAGGAAACAGUUUCUCCUUUAAGAUGGCGCUUUCCAUUGGCAGUUUUUCAUACUUGCCUUAAUAUUUUUUUCUAACAGAAAACCACUGCUGCCUGAUCAAUCAGCUGCACAUUCUUCAUUGAAUAAAAGUGUUUUAAACAGAUUGACUUUAAUCCAAGACAUACUGACCACUCCUCUUCCCUCAAAGAAAUUGGAAUACAAAUAUUCUCAUGAAUUUGUUGUCUGAGCGCUCAGGAUAUUCGUAUAUUCCAUGAUGUCACAACAACUCAGCCAAUCAGCGACAGAGGCUUUAUACAACAUAGAUAAAUGAGUAGGUGGAAUGGCCACAGAUGGACUCUCUUCUGGGAGGAACAACUAGUCCCAAGCCCACUUAGCCCAAAGUUUCUAUAAGUUUCCCAGAGCAAUGGCCACUGGGAUAAAUUUGAACUUCGCAGACACAGAACUAUGGCUGCUAUCCUAUGCAAAGUUAUUUAGGAGUGAAUCUCACUAAACUGAAGCCCUCUUUGUGUGUUCAGAAGAAAAGGCUUAAAGUGAAGCUCAUCCCAUUGCUCCUGUGCGCUCUGGCUACUUUCCUGACCUUUGCACACUGGGCAGUGCACUGAAGGGGAUUUCAGUUGAGCAAUGUUAGAAUUUGGAACCCAGUGCAAUAAGGUUUACUGACUGAAGGGGCAACAUGGUUAGAAUCUCCCUGGAGAUGUCUGAAUAAAUGCCACAGGGCAGCACCCAUAGAGACUAUCAGGCGUACGGGGUGAGAAUGUCACACUGCGUCCCCUACCUAUAUUCAGCCCUCAUGCGAUAUUUUGAAUGCUGGAAGAGAGCUUUAGUGGGACUUGCUGCUGAGUUAACCAAUGUAGGAUUGGGUGGCUGGUCAAUUUAUUUUCUCUCUGUUUCACAGUAAUGAUUUUAAAAAUGUAUUAUUUAUACCCUGCCCAUCUGGCUGGGUUUUCCCAGCUACUCUGGGUGGUUUCCAGCACAUAUAAAAGCAUAAUAAAACAUCAAAAAUUAAAAAUUUCCCAAUACUUCUCAUUCUUCCAGUGUUAGAUUCAGCUCUCCACAUUUCUGCAUCCAUUUGCAUUAAAAAAAUCCUCAUCAAUAUUCUUCAGCAUUUUAGUGUGAAUUUCUCCCGAUAAACACAUUUUCAGAUGCAGUUUUGAUUAAUGUACACAUUUUUGUAACCAAUUUUUCUUAUGAUAACUCAUUUUAGUAUCCUACAUUCAUUUUAGGCACAUUUUCUAGAAUAUAUGCAUUUUUGUAAACAUUGUUGGUUGGAGAACGACACUGCAAGUGUGAAUUUUGAAGGAUGGGUUUGGUUUGGUUCUCAUAUUGUUUCAGAAAGUGCAAGUUUGACAGAUUCAGUUUCAAAUGCAAACUGAAUUGGAUCUCUUCCCCUACCCUUAGUGAUUAAUAAAGCAUGGAUGUUCCAAUUCUUUCCAAUUCUGUGCCUCUAGUAGGAGUACUAAUGCUAAAAGGAAAGCAAUUACUAAAAUAUAAAAGUUUAAAAAAAGGAAAAUGAAAUACAGUGGUACCUCGGGUUAAGUACUUAAUUCAUUCCAGAGGUCUGUUCUUAACCUGAAACUGUUCUUAACCUGAAGCACCACUUUAGCUAAUAGGGCCUCCUGCUGCCGCUGCACGAUUUCUGUUCUCAUCCUGAAGCAAAGUUCUUAACCCGAGGUACUAUUUCUGGGUUAGCGGAGUCUGUAACCUGAAGCGUAUGGAACCUGAAGCGUAUGGAACCCGAGGUACCACUGUACACUGGUGUAUAUCUCAUCCGACAUACAAUGUAUGGCCUAUUAUCAGAAAAAUUAACAGAAAGAUUACAUGCAUUGAAUAAAAGAAAUGAUGUAGACAAUUUUGUUGAAAUUUGGCAUCCUUUUAUAAAAUAGUUUACUGAUAAUCCUGAAGAAUGGCAACUACUGAAAUCACAGACUAGACUUUAGCAAACUUAACUAGAUGGAUCUGUCCUGGAGUGAAAAGUAGGGGGCGAAUUGGGAUUUCAGUUUUGUAUCCUUUUCUCUCUUUUGUGAAGGAAAAUCAAUAAAACUAUAUAUUAAAGAGAGAGAGAGAAUAUUCUAAAGCAUGCCCCUCGAAAUGAUUAUUUUAAUCCAUGCAGGAUUGCAACAAGCAAAGCUGGGGCUGGUAUUCCUUUUGUAUUAAUGACACUGAAAGAAAAUUAUGUCCUUGUAAGCAUUGUUUUCACUUCUCUGUCCCUGACCAUUGCAAAAUAAUGUGGUGGCUCUCAGGAAUACGCUUUUUUAAAGUACUUGCUUUGUCUGUGUCUUUUCUUUCUUUCUUUUUAAUCUACAGUGUUCCAGUUUUGAAGGACACUUUUUUCAGACACCUCAUACCUCUUAACAGUUUCUGUACAUUCCCACAAUAAUCAUGUUUUUCUUCCUUCCUUUAAAAACAAAACACCGUUUUACAUGCGUAAUGUACAUCCUCCGGCACGUACUACUAGUCAAAAUGUGGUCAGGAUGUGCAUCUUAUACGUGAAUCUAGAGAGUGCCAAAGCAAGAUAAUUCCAAGGGCAUUUCGGUCCCUAAUCAAUGUGCGGCAGAACUGAGACGAAGGAAUGUUUCUGUUUUUCUAUCUUCACCUUGCAAUGGAUAAGAGAAUUUUACUGCAAAGCUUUAUUGGGUCAAUUAACCCUUUGGAAACCACGCAGCAGAUUACUUUUUUUCUAACACUGUUUUUAAAAGGGUUGCUCAUUUGCAGUACAGUUACACAAGGGAUGGAGAAUUUGCGGCCCGGCAGAU